UACGGAGGGUGCAAGCAUUAAUCGGAUUUACUGGGCGUAAAGGGCUCGUAGGCGGCCAACUAAGUCAGACGUGAAAUCCCCAGGCUCAACCUGGGAACUGCGUCUGAUACUGGUUGGCUUGAAUCCGGGAGAGGGAUGCAGAAUUCCAGGUGUAGCGGUGAAAUGCGUAGAUAUCUGGAGGAAUACCGGUGGCGAAGGCGGCAUCCUGGACCGGCAUUGACGCUGAGGAGCGAAAGCUAGGGGAGCAAACGGG
rnacentral:rRNA from 1 species